GAGGGUAUAGCUCAAGUGGUAGAGCACAUGCUUAGCAUGCACGAGGUCCUGGGUUCAAUCCCCAGGACCUCUA
rnacentral:tRNA from 1 species